GGUUCUGUUGGGGGCUUGCUCUCGACAGAGUAGUGGCAAACUGCGUUUGAGUAACACGUGGGUAAUCUUCCUUCGAGUGAGGAAUAACUUCGGGAAACCGGAGCUAAUACCGCAUAACAUCUUGGGACGGCAGUUCCAAGAUCAAAGGGGGCGCAAGCUCCCGCUUGAAGUUGAGCUCGCGUCCUAUCAGCUAGUCGGUGAGGUAAUGGCUCACCAAGGCUCCGACGGGUAGCCGGCCUGAGAGGGUGGCCGGCCACACUGGGACUGAGACACGGCCCAGACUCCUACGGGAGGCAGCAGUGGGGAAUAUUGCGCAAUGGACGAAAGUCUGACGCAGCGACGCCGCGUGGGUGAUGAAGGCCUUCGGGUCGUAAAGCCCUGUUGAGGGAGAGAAAGCUACUGUCGGUUAAUACCCGGCAGUGGUGAUAGUAUCCCUAGAGAAAGCACCGGCUAACUACGUGCCAGCAGCCGCGGUAAUACGUAGGGUGCAAGCGUUGCUCGGAAAUUACUUGGGCGUUAAGGGAGCGCAGGCGGUUUUUG
rnacentral:rRNA from 1 species